AUCUAGAUUUCGGUGACCUGAAUCUUCUCUUCGGUCAUCUUCUUCUUGCUUUCCUUCAUAUUUCUUUAGAAAUUUAAGUUGUGACGAUGGCAACUGAUCCAUCUACUCUUUCCUCAACUGUGAUGAGUCUCAUUCUCAGAGGUGCCUCAGUCUCUGCGGAAAUUUCAUCUGGAAUGGCAAAUCUGGAAAUUUCAAAUGUUGAUCAAACAGUGACUACGCUCACACUAAAUCAGCCUCUGACUAAAACCAAUUACAUACUCUGGAGUAAGAGUGUGUUGAGGGCACUGUCUGUUAAGGGUAAGAAAGGCUUCAUUACUGGAGAUCUUCCAAUUCCUAAGGAUCCAGCAGCUGCAGAACAAUGGAAACGUGUAGAUGACCUGGUGCUGAACUGGUUGCUAAACUCCAUAUCUCCUCACUUACAUUCUGCUUUUGGAUUGUACAACACUAGUCUUGACUUGUGAGAAGCUUUGAGGAAUCUCUAUGGACAGUACAAUGCCCUACAAGCCUAUCGACUUAGGAAGGCCAUAUCCAACUUGCACCAAGGUAACAUGACUAUGGCUGCAUACUUUAAUAAAAUGCAGGAAUAUAAAGAUCAAUUGGCUUGUUUAUCUCUUGUGCCUGAAACUAAAAAGGAAAAUGCGGAGUACAUAGCUAAGAAUGAUGCUAUUGACUAUUUAAUGGAACUCAAUGAGGCUUUCGAUGCUAUUAGGAGCCAAAUCCUUAUGAUGGAUCCCUUGCCUCAUUUCAACAAAAUUUAUGGAAUGUUGUCUAGUGCUGAAAAACAGCAGGAAGCACAUGGGUUGCUAGCUAUGAAUGAUCCAUCUCCUGCUGUUUUGUUCAUUGCAGCAAAGGGUUCUAGUAAAAUCUAUGAUAGGGGUGUCAGUAAAGGUUUUGAUAAAAAGAAGAUGGACAAGAAGGGUCUUGUAUGUGAUUAUUGUAAAAGGACAGGGCACUUAAAGUAUGAAUGCUUCAAACUCCAUGGAACACCUAACUGGUUCAAGGCUUUACAGGAGAAAAUGAGGAAGGAAAACGGACCUUUUAACAUUGCAGAGAUGACUUUGUGUGCUAAUGACACUCCACACAGCUUUAAUUCAUCUUCUUUAACCAGUGCAGCCUUUAGUGAGCUGGUUCAGAAAGAAGUGCAAAGGGCCCUUGAAAUGAAGAAGUCUCUUAUUGAACAAGCAAACUUGUUUGAUUUCCAUUAUUCAGGUACAUUCUGUUUAAAUGUCACAAAUACAUCUAUUGGGAACAAAUGAUGGAUACUAGAUAGUGGGGCAACUUGUCAUGUUGCAAAUGACAAAAAUCUAUUUGAUAGUCUCUCCAAGCUUGACAGACCUGUCUAUAUAGCUUUGCCAAAUGGAUCAACACAAGUUGCCACACACUCGGGACCCUAAGGAAUGGAAGUUGGUGGGGAAAGGAGUCAAUAAGGGUCAUCUAUACCAUCUAAAGACGAAUUCUGAAUUCACCAUAUGUGCUGUGAAGGAGGUUCAACCUUGGCACCAGCGUUUAGGACAUCCUUCCCAGAGAAUUUUGCAGCAUUUACUUUCCGAUUCAAGUGAUUGCAAUAAUGAUGAUUUGAAUUGUGAUAUUUGCCAUAUGGCAAAGAUGAAACACUUGCCCUUUAAUGACAACUUAUCAAAUGCCAAAAACUGU